AAUAUUCGCAUUGAAAAUCUGUCGCCAAUUGGAUGGAAACCUAGCUAAUGACAGCAAUUGGAUGGAAACCUUGCUAAUGACAGCAAUUGGAUGGAAACCUUGCUAAUGACAGCGAUUGGAUGGAAACCUAGCGAAUGACAGCAAUUGUCUUAGGAUGGUGCUGGAACAUCUGACAGCAAAAUAAAAGGCCAGUUUGAUGAAAAAGCUUUAAAUAAAGGUUGAAAUCCAGGCCUGUCACAUGGUGGGUGUAAAUCACAGGGCCCUAAGUAUAAUACUUCUGGGGAAAAGGUUCUGUAUCUAGUUCUGUUAUCGCAAUGGGUCCAUUGUAUCAGUCAAGUCUCAUUGACAAUAGAGACAGAUUAUGCCUUGAAGAGGGGCACAGGUGGAGUCUCUAUCAGAAUGUUUUUUGUGUCUUUUAUCGGUGUAACAGAAAUGACCAGUUAUUCCUAAAGACUGCUGUGUUGACCAAAACCUGGCGUAUACUGUUUCAUAGAAAUAAAAAUAAAUAAUACUUUCAGAUUUUGUAAUCAAAGAUGAUCAAAGCAGUGUUUUUAGAGACUGCAACUCGGCUGUGAAUCAAGACAGUGUUAUGUUAUGUGAAGUACUAUUGCGACCUUAUAAAACCCAAUAUGUUAGAAAAGAAUGGUGCUGUUCCUUUCAUUUUUACUUGAAUAUGUCACUACUGACUAGAUUUGACUUUUUCACGGUCUUGUCUUUAAAAAAAUAUAUAUUUUCUUUUUCUCUACGUUGUCAUAGUUACUUUGUUUUUAUUUAUUGUGGUGGUCCAUAUUUGCACAGGUCACAGUGGUAUGAAUAGACAUACCACUGUCUAUUCAUACCACUAUUCAUACCAUAGAUAUCUUAUUCACUCUGAGUCAAAACCGCCAUUAAACUAUCAUCAAAACUUGUCACCUUUCCUCUCAGAUUCAUUCCAACCCACGUGUGGCUCCUCCCACCAGCCUCCACUGGUGUGGCUUAUUUAAAGAACGAUGACAGACAAAUGGCAAUGGGCAACUUUGUACGUUUUGCAUUCAACUCAUCAACUUCAACUUGGGACAAGUCAGACAUUGUGAACUGUUAAUAUCUCUCACGGUGGAAGAUAUUAGAUAAUUGAGGGAUUAUUUUUAAUGUUGAAUCUAAUUUUGUCUUCCACACCUGUCGUAUUGUGAGUGUGGUACAGUGUUUGUCUUUGUACUCCCUUGAGAAUUCACCAGUGUACUUCUGAUGGGAGCCCCAGCCAUUUCUGAUGGGAGCCCCAGCCAUUUCUGAUGGGAGCCCCAGCCAUUUCUGAUGGGAGCCCCAGCCAUUUCAGAUGGGAGCCCCAGCCAUUUCAGAUGGGAGCCCCAGCCAUUUCAGAUGGGAGCCCCAGCCAUUUCAGAUGGGAGCCAAAGCCAUUUCUGAUGGGAGCCCCAGCCAUUUCUGGUGGGAGCCACAGCCAUUUCUGGUGGGAGCCACAGCCAUUUCUGGUGGGAGCCACAGCCAUUUCUGGUGGGAGCAACAGCCAUUUCUGGUGGGAGCCACAGCCAUUUCUGGUGGGAGCCACAGCCAUUUCUGGUGGGAGCCACAGCCAUUUCUGGUGGGAGCCACAGCCAUUUCUGGUGGGAGCCACAGCCAUUUCUGGUGGGAGCCACAGCCAUUUCUGGUGGGAGCCACAGCCAUUUCAGUCCUGCCAGAGUAGAGCUCUCAGCAGCACAUUGACAGGAAAUCUAAAUGGUACGACAAUUUGGCACGGGCAUAAAGGUGGUUUUAUGACUAUGAUUAUGAUGAUGAUGAUGAUGACUGCCAUUUAUUUCAACUAUCUGAUGAAACCUGCGAGGCCAACAGGUGUUGAGGCCAACAAUAUCCUACCUGCUGAUGGAUUCCUCUAAUAGUGAACCGUGUGUCUGACCAUGUGUGUGAGACUGUGUGUGUCCACAGCACAAGGUCUGCUUUGUGGGAACACAGUUAUUGAUUGCUGUUAGUCUGGCGUUAGACAGUAAUGGCCUGCCCAUGAUGUUGCCAUGGUGCUUGUUUAAAAUGCUGUCUAUUUUAAUGUACCUGUUUUUAAUGUACAUCUACUGGAUGUGUUUAAUGUUUUAAAUGUAUGUGUUGUAUUUUUUCGACUUUGGAUCUCUUAAUUUGUACAUGAUUGGUAAAGUAGGGAUUGUAGGCUACCUUCUUUAUUCAGAACAGAAACAAAGGCAAAAUGUAGGAAGCCAUUUUUAAUCGCAGAGGCAGGGAGGAAGACGAGCACUUUUGGACUUUAGUUGUACCCCCUUCAUCACAUGGACGCUACAAACAAACCAGAUGAAACUAAGAAGGAAUUUAAUGUACAAUUGACUCUCCAUUGUGAACUCUAACAUACUCUCUGUCUCUGUCAGAGUAUUCCUCACAAGCAAUUGGAUGCUGAGAAAAGUAAAGUCCUCUGUAUUGCAGUUUUCAACCAUGACCUUUUUUCCACACGGUUCAGGUUCAGGCGAAGAAGCUCAUGUCAGAGAGAUGAUGAUGGACAUCUAUUUUCCUGAAAGGUAUUUGAGUAUUUAGGGGUUGACUUUCUCCAUAGACUAAUCCACUUCACCACUGUACCUCCCAUCCCAAGUCAUAUGGAAAGUUCUACCCUCUCUCUCUGGUUGAAUCUCUCUUCAGGAGCUGGUGAAAAGG